CUCCUUCACGUCGGUUUAGCGCUACAUUGUUGAUAAAUUCUUCUGCAUUGCAAAUUCGACUUAGAUAUAGACACCUUAAUACGAGACAGACACAUCUCUGCAGGGAAUCCAGAGAACUUACGCCCGUUUGUUCUGAAAUUAUUAAUAUUUAAUCACUAAUCGCUGAUCAUGAUUCACCGCCGUUCGGUGUUUUUCGCCGUUGGACUUCUGAUUUAUGAACACUCCAUUGGCGACUGACUCAAUGAUCAGAGUCAUUCGUAUUCGGCCCCUGGCGAUACUUUGGACCUUAGAGAGAUUUAUAAGGAUUUACGGUGCAAUUAGUUUUUUUAUUAUUACGGUAUGAACAUGCAAAAAUUGUGCAUAAUGGCUAUCAAUGACGGGAUAAAAAAAACGAGAUUUUUCUCAAGGUGGAGUUUUUAUCAAAUUGCAAGACGACAAAUACACAAUUAGAAAUUUAUUGUGGUACAUUUUGUUAGAAGUUUCCUGAAUCAAUUCAGGAAGUUAAAAUGCAGAAUUAAAAAAUUAAGACACUCAUUACCACGAAAAUUAUUCAAUAUUCAAUUAUCCCCCCAUACGAUGGGUUCGAACUGUCAAGUUUGUGUUAUCGGAAGUCUUAGCAAUCGAGCUACUGUGUGAUACCGUUAUUGAAAGCAAUUGAAAUCGGUUUACAAAAAAUUAUCAGCGGUCAUUAAUUUUUUUUCCCUCAAAUAUCAUGAGCAAAAGCUCUGAUCCCGGUAUCUAAAAAAUUAUGAGUAAUAACUAAGAUUGUCAUAUAAAUUUCGAUAAUUUUUUUAACGUCUACGAAACACUGUUCAAAUUCACACUAAUUAAAUCAAAUGCUCCCAAAUGUGCGAAAUCAAACGAUAAGACAAUGAUUUUCUAAAUCAUUUUACUCAAUUUUAACGUCUAUAUUGGGUACGAAUGUCACAUAUGACAUAAACAGAUUUUCUGUUUCUCCUAAAACGCCCUAAGACCCUCCGGCGUGCGUCGUUGUAUAAGAUACCUUCCGAAAUUCCCUGAAAUUUCGAGGCCCCUACCAUUGACCCAACGCCGUGAGUAGGGACGACUUUUUCAUAAGAGACGCGCGUAUCGAACGAACAGUGCAACAAAACUAACCUCCAACAGCUAACUUUGAUACCUAAUCAUCAUGUCCAAAGCGCCUUCGACAUCAUCAGAGCCUCCAGUCCCAUCCUUAAUGUCACUUCGAAAGAAAACCCGGAAGAGCUACUCAUUUCAGGAGAAAGCAGCGAUGAUAAAUGCCUUAGAAACAAAACCUCUCACAACAGUAGCUCGAAAGAAUGAUAUCAACGAAAAAUUACUUUACAAAUGGAAGAGGAACCACGAUUUGAUUUUGGAAGCUGCAGAGAGUGAACUUCUCGCUGGAAAAAAAAAGAACAAGCCCAUAAACGAGGAGCUGGAGGAUCACCUCUACAAUUGGUUUGUGAAGGCCAGAUCGGCUGGAAUAGCUGUGAGUGGGCCGAUAGUACGAGCAGUGGCCCUAGAUCUCAACAAGCAGCUGGGUGGUAAGGAGACAUUCAAAGCUAGUCACGGAUGGUUAGACAGGUGGAAGAAACACAAGAACAUUCGAUUUCCUCGCGAAAGAUCGUCGCCUAGAGAUAGCGCAGAAUCUUUCGACCACGAGGCACCGGACGCAACAGAAGAACAAAAUUUCAUAAAGACUGAAGAGAUAUCUCCUCCAGGCAGUCCAGACCUUGACGCUGAUGAUCACAAGGACUUUGUCGUGGAAUGGCUUCCGAUACCCCCAGCGUCAGCACCUCUUGUUGAUAAUUUCGAAACAGAAAUCCGUGUGAAAGAGGAACCUGCCAGUAGUUUUGAUGAGAGCUUUGUGAAAAUUGAGAGAGUGUCUCCAUCAGGAAGUCCUAGGUCUGAAGAGGCUGAUGACAGAGCCUGGACAACUGCAUCGCCGUCCACUCAUGGAGAAACGUCCCCUCCAAGGACUAUCAGUCCCGUUUUCGAGGAUGAUGGAGAAUUCUCAAGGAAAUCAAGGAGGAGUUACUCUUUUCAGGAGAAAGCGGAUAUCGUGACACUUUUGAAAACUAGAUCUGCCUCAGACGUAGCCCUAGAGACUGGUAUUCAUUACCGAUUACUGUACAAGUGGAUGAAAAAUGAGGCGUUGAUCGUGGAAGCUUCCAAGCGAGAGGAUUUAUCAGGAAGAAAGCAGAAGGUGCACAGAAAUGAAGAAUUGGCUGAUCAUGUGUACAAUUGGUACCAGGCAGCACAAUCAGCUGGCAUUCACGUCACUGGGCCAAUUAUAAAGGCAGUGGCACUGGACUUGAAUAGACAGCUGGGUGGCAAGGAGACAUUUAAAGCCAGCUGUGGAUGGCUCGGCCAGUGGAAGAGAUUCAAAAAUGUUGUACUACCAAAACCGUCGGUCAAGCCAUUCUCCUAUGCGACUGCUAGAAGUAGGGAGAACCCGUCCCGAGAAGUAAUUGCUACAGAGAAUUUUAUAAAGCCUGAACCUACUGUCGAGGAUGGGUCUCUCCCAGGUAGUUCCACUGGAGGCGGAGAGGAACACACGGGAUUCAUAACUGAAUGGCUUCCGAUGUCUGAAGAGGUGUCUCCUCCAAGCAGUCCAGACUUCCAGGAAACUUAUGAGACUGUGGGGCCGACUCGGAGAAGUUACUCUUUUGCUGUAAAAGCCAAGGUUCUGAAAGCUUUGGAAACUGAAUCUCACAAAGUUGUAGCACGGAAGUUCGGCAUCAAUGCAAAGACGAUGUACAGGUGGAAGAGAGAUCGUUUGAAGAUUCUGGAAGCUGCGAAAAGAGAUAGCAGAAUGAGGAAGAGCAGGAACAGGCUUGGAAAAUUCCAAAACUGCGCCACAAGUUCGGCAGAUUCAACGGAUUCUGACAGCGAACUUGAGGAUGACAGCUGCGAAACAUCUGAUAGUGAUUGAAUGGAGGGAUCCAUGGUUAGCACUUCUCCUCGUCUUUCACGUUGCAGUUACCAUGACUGCCUUAAUGACCCGAAAUCACGCCAACUUCCAAAUAUUGUUAUUCCUCGUAUUACUUUUACUCGUCUACUUCUCGGAG